rnacentral:lncRNA from 1 species
CUGAUGUGAACCUAGAAGGUGUAGCCAUGUGAGAGGACCACGUCAUUAUUAUGAAAGGGGCUCUUAAAAUUGCCACCCAAGUAGAUGCUGUUGGGGAUGGGGUGAGGGAAGGAAAGUGAAAGGGGAGGGAAGGGAAGGGAGAGGAGAAGGCCACACACAAUCUUAAAUUCAAUAUUUCACUCCCAUUAAAGAUAAGCUGUUUAUAAGCUUCAGUGUAGGGCAUAUAAUUCUAUGUAAAAACUCUGUGGUUCCUCUUCCCAAACAUAAAUCAUAAAUCAUGAUCAUUCUACACUCUGCUCUCUGGGAGUCCUCGAGGCAAAGAGACAACAGGACACGAGGUAUGGUAAUAAAAAAGUCUGGGUAUUAUAAAAUCCACCCUGAGCUCCAAGAAGAAAAGGCUAACAAGAAGAGAGGUCUGAAAAGUACUAAUUUACCCAGGUACAAUGCAGUUUUGUACAUUUUUAUUCACAUCCUCAGGAAUCAAAUGUCCACCUUGAUACCUGAGAGAAUUUUUUAAAAUAAAUUCUAGCUAUAAGUGUUUUAAAGAUAAACUAUGAAUUCUUUUUGGAACUAAGUGCCUUGAUAAAAUAAUGAAUAUUAAAUACAUCUUAGAGUCACAGAAAGGACUUAGCGCCAGAGUCUCUCUGUGGUAGCUGAGGAGUGCCCCCUACAGUCUGACGUGCGCAACGCAAGCAGAUGACGAGGAAAGAACUGAGCAGCAGUUUCAGGAUUCUCAAUAAGGCAUCGAAGAAAGAAAGGUUUAAUCACGUUUUUUCACCCAAAAGAGACUCUAGAAGUGAAGAUGGCUCAUAUCACAAUGUAACCACUAGAUGGCAGCACAAACCCAUCUCAGAAUUAUUCCCAAAGCAGCCAGAGACCUCAGACCAGCUGUUACAAGGCGCCCCCACAGUUGAGCACAAUUUUUUGGCACCCAAAGUGAGAGUACCUCUCUCUCCUGCCCUUGAAAAAGCAAGACUGCUCCCAGUGGCCAAGAAAAUAGUCUUACAGAAAGACCAG